GACGAACGUUGGCGGCGUGCUUAACACAUGCAAGUCGAACGGAAAGGCCCUGCUUUUGUGGGGUGCUCGAGUGGCGAACGGGUGAGUAACACGUGAGUAACCUGCCCUUGACUUUGGGAUAACUUCAGGAAACUGGGGCUAAUACCGGAUAGGAGCUCCUGCUGCAUGGUGGGGGUUGGAAAGUUUCGGCGGUUGGGGAUGGACUCGCGGCUUAUCAGCUUGUUGGUGGGGUAGUGGCUUACCAAGGCUUUGACGGGUAGCCGGCCUGAGAGGGUGACCGGCCACAUUGGGACUGAGAUACGGCCCAGACUCCUACGGGAGGCAGCAGUGGGGAAUAUUGCACAAUGGGCGGAAGCCUGAUGCAGCAACGCCGCGUGCGGGAUGACGGCCUUCGGGUUGUAAACCGCUUUCGCCUGUGACGAAGCGUGAGUGACGGUAAUGGGUAAAGAAGCACCGGCUAACUACGUGCCAGCAGCCGCGGUGAUACGUAGGGUGCGAGCGUUGUCCGGAUUUAUUGGGCGUAAAGGGCUCGUAGGUGGUUGAUCGCGUCGGAAGUGUAAUCUUGGGGCUUAACCCUGAGCGUGCUUUCGAUACGGGUUGACUUGAGGAAGGUAGGGGAGAAUGGAAUUCCUGGUGGAGCGGUGGAAUGCGCAGAUAUCAGGAGGAACACCAGUGGCGAAGGCGGUUCUCUGGGCCUUUCCUGACGCUGAGGAGCGAAAGCGUGGGGAGCGAACAGGCUUAGAUACCCUGGUAGUCCACGCUGUAAACGGUGGGUACUAGGUGUGGGGUCCAUUCCACGGGUUCCGUGCCGUAGCUAACGCUUUAAGUACCCCGCCUGGGGAGUACGGCCGCAAGGCUAAAACUCAAAGGAAUUGACGGGGCCCCGCACAAGCGGCGGAGCAUGCGGAUUAAUUCGAUGCAACGCGUAGAACCUUACCUGGGUUUGACAUGGAUCGGGAGUGCUCAGAGAUGGGUGUGCCUCUUUUGGGGUCGGUUCACAGGUGGUGCAUGCCUGUCGUCAGCUCGUGUCGUGAGAUGUUGGGUUAAGUCCCGCAACGAGCGCAACCCUUGUUCACUGUUGCCAGCACGUUAUGGUGGGGACUCAGUGGAGACCGCCGGGGUCAACUCGGAGGAAGGUGGGGAUGACGUCAAGUCCUCAUGCCCCUUAUGUCCAGGGCUUCACGCAUGCUACAAUGGCUGGUACAGAGAGUGGCGAGCCUGUGAGGGUGAGCGAAUCUCGGAAAGCCGGUCUCAGUUCGGAUUGGGGUCUGCAACUCGACCUCAUGAAGUCGGAGUCGCUAGUAAUCGCAGAUCAGCAACGCUGCGGUGAAUACGUUCCCGGGGCU
rnacentral:rRNA from 1 species